GAGUUUGAUCCUGGCUCAGAACGAACGCUGGCGGCGUGCUUAACACAUGCAAGUCGAACGUGAUCCGGAGUUUGCUCCGGUGAAAGUGGCGCACGGGUGAGUAACGCGUGGAUAAUCUGCCCUGGUAUCUGGGAUAACAUCUCGAAAGGGGUGCUAAUACCGGAUAAGCCUACGGACUCUUCGGAGUCUGCAGGAAAAGGUGGCCUCUAUUUAUAAGCUWCCGUAUCAGGAUGAGUCCGCGUACCAUUAGCUAGUUGGUGGGGUAAUGGCCCMCCAAGGCUACGAUGGUUAGCUGGUCUGAGAGGAUGAUCAGCCACACUGGAACUGAGACACGGUCCAGACUCCUACGGGAGGCAGCAGUGGGGAAUUUUGCGCAAUGGGGGAAACCCUGACGCAGCAACGCCGCGUGAGUGAUGAAGGCUUUCGGGUCGUAAAGCUCUGUCAGAGGGGAAGAAAUGAGACUGGCUAAUAUCCAGUUUUCUUGACGGUACCCUCAAAGGAAGCACCGGCUAACUCCGUGCCAGCAGCCGCGGUAAUAC
rnacentral:rRNA from 1 species